UGGAUCGCUUCGUCUGAUGGU
rnacentral:miRNA from 1 species